GACGUAGGGGGCCAGCGUUGUUCGGAAUUACUGGGUGUAAAGGGUUCGUAGGCGGUGUGGCAAGUCGGGAGUGAAAUCUCUGGGCUCAACCCAGAGGCUGCUUCCGAAACUGCUGUGCUUGAGUGUGGGAGAGGCGCGUGGAAUUGCAGGUGUAGCGGUGAAAUGCGUAGAUAUCGUAAGGAAGACCAGUGGCGAAGGCGGGUCUCUGGACAGUUCCUGACGCUGAGGCACGAAGGCCAGGGGAGCAAACGGG
rnacentral:rRNA from 1 species